GUCACUUCCGCCGGACAGAAUCGCAGAUGGCGGCCGCUGCAUGAUUUUUUUGGAAACUGCCAGCCGAGAAUGUAUCACGUGCGCGAUUUGUGGCAUUGAUCCGACCGAUUCUGUUUUUGUUUUCCUUUUCUUUUCUUUUUUCCUAUUUACAUUCGCGGGCGGGUUACCUCAACGCCUUAGACGAAUACGUACGCGACUACGGGGUUAUACAGGGCUUGGAUUGUUGGAAAUAUGCCCUAGAGGCAAUAAUAAAUUUGUUAUUAUCAUAUUUCAUUGUUCUUGAUAAAUGUUUAUUGCCCAUGCUAUAAUUGUAUUGAUUGGAAACUCAAAUACAUGUGUGGAUAAAUAAACAAAUACCGUGUCCCUAAUACGCCUCUACUAGAUUAGCUCGUUGAUUAAAGAUGGUUAAGGUUUCCUAACCAUAGACAUGUGUUGUCAUUUAAUAACGAGAUCAUAUCAUUAGGAGAAUGAUGUGAUGGACAGACCCAAACCUAAACAUAGCUUUUGAUCGUGUCACUUAAGUUUAAGUUGCUUAUGUUUUAUUAUGUCAAGUAUUAUUUCUUUAGACCAUGAGAUCAUGCCACUCCCUAGUACCGGAAGAAUACUUUGUGGGCAUCAACCGUCAUCUCGUAACUGGGUGAUCAUAAAGGUGUUUUUCAGGUAUCCAAGAAGGUGCUUGUUGGGUUGUAUGGAUCAAGACUGGGAUUUGUCACUCCUUGUGACGGAGAGAUAUCUCUGGGCCCUCUCGGUAAU
rnacentral:lncRNA from 1 species